GCUUACGACCACACCGGCCUGAGUACGCCUGAUCUCGUUUGAUCUCGGAAGCCUAAGCAGUUUCGGGCCUGGUUAGUACUUGGAUGGGAGACUGCCUGCUGGAAUCCCAGGUGCUGUAAGCU
rnacentral:rRNA from 1 species